UUAAAUAGAAGUAAUUUACAAAUCUGUUUAACUUUCUGGAGCAGUUGAUUUAAAAAAAACUAUUUUCCAGUGGAGUAAUGGAAAAGUAAUAAGUAAUAUGUUAUCCUGGAGCGGCGUUAUUAUUUUAUACUCGAAACUGAUAAAAUCCACCGUGUGUCACAGGAAGCGGGGGUCCGACUCCACACUGUGUAAGGGGCCCAACAUUUCUGCUAGGGUUUUGUGUAACCUCUUCAGCCAAGACCAGACACAGGACAUCUCUGGCUAAAUCCUCUAACCAGGUCAUCCCACGUCUGGACCUUUUGAAGUGAACUGUGGAGAAUGUAUGAUGGUCCACCCAGGGGGAAGAAGGCCCGACCCUCUGGAGCUUUGUAGCAUGGAUCCUGAGGUGAUCUCUGUAACCAACUUCAUGGGAUUAUACCAUCAAGGAUCCCUCACAUGGAUACCUAUACCAUGUGAUCUUUUAAUUGCUGAAGCCUCCUGGAGCAGCAGAUCAGCGAUCGGACAGUGAGAAGGCAGAAACGGCUCCCCUCUUAUCCACAGGCGAUUUCUGGUACUGCAGCUUUGUCUACACAUCCCUGAUCCAUGGCCCACGGCUCUGCACAGAUUGUGGAUACACGGAUGACUGCGACCAUGAUGUCCUGGAGCAGCUCAGGGUGAGACGUGUCUAGACCUACCUGCUCAUUCAUCACCACAGGACCGCACUUGUCUUCACAUGGAGCUCAUAUUGAUUUGGAUUAGAUUUCACCAUCCACAUUCCUGACAGGAUGAGCAAUGGAGCCCCGGGAUGUGCUCUGCACUCUCCUUAUAACUAUCUGUGGUGGGAAUAUAGUACAUCUCCCCCACCAAACAUCCCCUGUUACUGGAUGGUUAUCCCCGGGUUUAUCUGUACAGCCCCGCCCCCUGUAUGACAUCAUUGAUAUAAUAUAAUAGUAAUAUAAUGACAUGUGAUCACAGCCCCGCCCUCUGUAUGACAUCACUGAUAUAAUAGUAAUAUGACAUGUGAUCACAGCCCCGCCCCCUGUAUGACAUCAUUGAUAAAAUAUAAUAUAAUAGUAAUAUAAUGACG